GCAAGGACUGAAAUAUCUCCUGCUGAGUGGUGGAAAUUGUAUGGAGGAAAAACACCACACUUGCAAACCAUUGCCAUUAAAGUUCUAAGUUUGACUUGUAGCUCAUCAGGAUGUGAGCGUAAUUGGAGUACCUUUGAGCAUAUUCACUCAAAGAAGAGAAGUAGGCUUGAGCACCAAAAGCUUCAAGAUUUGGUUUAUGUUAAGUAUAAUCAAGCUCUUCUAGAUCGCUUUGAGUGUCAUGAUGUGAUUGAUCCUAUUGCUUUAAAUGAUAUUGAUGAUAGCAAUGAGUGGUUAUUGGGAGAAUUGGAAGGAGAA